rnacentral:ncRNA from 1 species
UCAAAGGCUAUGAAGAGAAGAGUAAGUAGUUAGAUAUGUUACAGAGAGUCUGGUAAGGUGAGAACAGGCACAAAAGGAACUACUGAAAAUGGUCUCGGAGCUGCGUACCGAAGCUGUUAUGCCAAGGCUGCGACGGGUUCACCCGUUAUAGUGAUAGACUAUCGAUGAAUCAUUUCUCGUCCGUAGUUGAUAAGGCUUAUAUCGUGAGAUAUAAGUAAAUUUAGGGUGGUAACACGAAGCGAAUGCUCUCGUCCCUGAA